GACGAACGCUGGCGGCGUGCUUAACACAUGCAAGUCGAGCGGUAAGGCCCUUUCGGGGGUACACGAGCGGCGAACGGGUGAGUAACACGUGGGUGACCUGCCCUCAGCUCUGGGAUAAGCCUGGGAAACCGGGUCUAAUACUGGAUAUGACUCCAUGACGCAUGUUGUGGGGUGGAAAGCCUUGUGCGGCUGAGGAUGGGCCCGCGGCCUAUCAGCUUGUUGGUGGGGUGANGGCCUACCAAGGCGACGACGGGUAGCCGGCCUGAGAGGGCGACCGGCCACACUGGGACUGAGACACGGCCCAGACUCCUACGGGAGGCAGCAGAGGGGAAUCUUGCGCAAUGGGCGAAAGCCUGACGCAGCGACGCCGCGUGAGGGAUGACGGCCU
rnacentral:rRNA from 1 species